AUUGGAUUAUAAUCGGUCGGAUAUUUUUCAUUCAAUUCUAUUAGUAUUAACUAUUAAUCGAAUGCUCACCGCGGAGAGAAUUCUCUUUGUUGUUUUCUCUAAGCCUAUGGUACAAAUCCCUUCAAUUUAUUGUCGAUUCGCGGACUUCCUAGCCCCUUCGGCCAGGAGAAGGUUGCUCUUUCCCUGGUCUGCCCGUGGGAUCCCUCCCACCGCGGAGUCGGAAUGUAGGCACUCUUUUGGCUUAUUUGUUUGCAGAAUGUUUGUGAUUGAUCAGGAUAUACCGUGAGUUUGCUUGCUUUGGUUAUGCUUGUGUAGGAGCUUCUGGAUCUAAGAGAUGAAGGAGUUGUGUUGUGGAGGAGCAGCAGCCAUAAGGAUUAAGAGCGAGCAUGCAUGCGGCCAUGGUUGCCCCCUUCUCUACAGGACUUUGCUCUGUGAGUUUGGUGGUAAACCAGACAAGGGGUCCCUUCUUCUACCUGUUGCAGGUUUGUGCUUGAUGUGAUUCUGCCAAGAAAGUCCUUGCUAUCUUCCUCUUGGUGCCAUUCUUCCACGAGGAGAGACGAUGGAGAUAGUACCGUUGGCCAGAUUAUUAAGCCUUCAUUAUAUUGAUCUUUAUCCACGAACUUCCUUUUUUAUCGUUGAAAAUUUUGUUAAAUUUUAAAAAAUAUUAUAGUAUUAUUAAAUUACAGUUUACUAGUUGCCAUUUUUAUUUUUG
rnacentral:misc_RNA from 1 species